AUACGAAGGGUGCAAGCGUUAAUCGGAAUUACUGGGCGUAAAGCGUGCGCAGGCGGUUUUGUAAGACAGUGGUGAAAUCCCCGGGCUCAACCUGGGAACUGCCAUUGUGACUGCAAGGCUGGAGUGCGGCAGAGGGGGAUGGAAUUCCGCGUGUAGCAGUGAAAUGCGUAGAUAUGCGGAGGAACACCGAUGGCGAAGGCAAUCCCCUGGGCCUGCACUGACGCUCAUGCACGAAAGCGUGGGGAGCAAACAGGAUUAGAUACCCUGGUAGUCCACGCCCUAAACGAUGUCAACUGGUUGUUGGGUCUUCAUUGACUCAGUGACGAAGCUAACGCGUGAAGUUGACCGCCUGGGGAGUACGGCCGCAAGGUUGAAACUCAAAUGAAUUGACGGGG
rnacentral:rRNA from 1 species